AAGAACAUCAAAUAAUUCAAAAAAACAAAGAACAUCAGGGUUACAGAGAAGAUUUUCUAGAUGAAAGAGAUAGGGUUGGAACUGAAGCAGUGGACAAUGAUAGACGGGGCAAAUAAUUCCGUGACCCGUCAAAUCAAAUUGGCGCUGAAAAUGGGGUAGGAUUUGACUGAUAUGAUCCCUAUCAAGGUUUUGAUAGUUGAAAUGAUGGAAAUCUUGAGAAGGCCUAUUCUGGUGGUACUCUUGCUUUACAAAGCUCUCAAGAGAAUGUAGGGGAAGAUUACAUCAGCGAUGUAACUUUAAACGUCUAAAGGAAUCAAAAUCCCAGGAAACUUGCUACAAAUAUGGGGACUCAGGGUCACAAAAUGCGCAAUUGUCCCCGGGAAAAUGCUUCAUGGAAAAAGGUCACUAGGUCUGGCCGUAGGCAUACUGAUGAUAUCCAUAGAAGUUGUAGAGGUAAAGUCGAGCUGGAAAAAGUUGGAUCCAGGUCACAGGAAUAGCUCCGGUCAAGUAGAGAGGCUAUACAAGGAAGUAGACUCAAGAAUGAUAAAGAAUAAUCUGGUUCAGGAAGGCAAGAAGGGGUGACAAGGAGAGGAAGAUGUCCUGCGGCAAAGGAAACUGAUCAGUCAAGAAAAAGAAGUACGAAAGGAAAUAACGAGGUAGGAAGGAAAUUGAAUCUCCAAAAACACAUGCUACAAAGAAAAGGAGACGAUCAAUUUAAUCUCCUCAUCAUUCUGACCACAUCACAUCUAGAUUGCUUUCGACAUCUCAUUACUCCAAGCAUCUGCGAAGGUCUCUCUCCCAUUCUAGAUCAAAAUAAGUAUCUUCCAGCUUAAGAUCUGGUUCGAGAUCACACUUCUCUAGAUUCAAAAGUUCUAAAACAAAGUCAAGAUCAAUAUCUCCUACAUCCCUAUCCUUGUCUGGGUCACUUGUUCGACCUUGACCAUCCUCUUCAGAUAACAUGAAAGGUUCGUCAGAUAAUGCGACAACACCUGAAUCCAAGGAAGUUUUGAUGGAGGAAGUGCAACCAGUAGAAGGUGGUACCGGCUUGCAGGGUGAAAAACAUGGAUUGAAAAUGGUGGCUGUGAAUGACAAUGCAGUGUCAUCCUCCAAAGCAGAUGAUGAAAUGGAAAAGAAUCACUCUUCAGAAGGAUAAAAUGACUGCCUAAUGGUGUCCGAUACAUUUCACAAAGUAACUAAUUCAAGCACACCAAUACUAUUAGAGAGAGGGGCAUUUGCUGCUGGAAAUCUCUCUCUUGAGCCUGUGUUAGAGGUGGAAUGUCAAUAUUCUGACACAUUUGAAUUGGAGCAUGUGCAACUUCCUUCGAAGAAUUGGAUCCAGAAGCUCCUGACAAAUUAUCCUCUGGCCGUUCAACAAGCAUUCCUGCAGAGGAUUUAAGCAUGGUUCUGAAGCAUUACGGCCUUGAUUGCCAAGAUGAGAACGAAAAGAAUUUACCUGCUGGGACUUACUUUUGUUCUGCUCGCCCUUGGGAUAUCAUCUACUACAGGAGGUUGAAGAAGGGCUCUGUCUCUACUGAGAAGUAUGCUAGGAGAGUUGAUCAGAAUAGAGAAUUUGGUAUUGUGACAAAUAUAUUAGAAGCAGAAGUGGUUGGGGAGAAUUACAACAAGAUAACCCGUUAAAGGUUUUGUUCAUCAAAACAUGGGUUGUUUUUGCCUUCUAAGAACCUCAGGAUUUUGGACUCAUCUUUCAUAUAGCCCUGCUCUUAUUUUGAGAAGAAGAGUUGAACAGGGUGGAGCUGGGGUGUUGAGCCGUGGUAGAAGUUUUUUUCCUGAUUCAACGACUUCUCUUUUGGUGUCCACGUCAAAGUUGUAGAUUUUAUUCUUCAGCUGCACAGAAGUAUUUGUUGAGCCUGACUUGCUCUGUCCUGAGGUUAAAGUUGAUCCUGUGAACAUAUCUUUGCUGUGACAUAGUUGCUACUUGCUACAAAAAUUACACUCUCAUCCGCAGCAAUGUUCAAGUCUUAAUUCGGAAUGCAAAAUUGAAUAGAAUAGGUCGUGUAUGCAUCAAGAAAUAAUUGGAAAUGUCUCUACUGUGUGGAGGGAGGGAACCAUUAUGAAUUUGAAUCAUAAUUUUGUUUUAUAAUGGUUUUCCUUUCCUCUUGCAUAGCAUCGGUAAGAAUUGUAUGACAGUCAAUGGAGAUAAUUGGAAUGACUACUACAACAACAAUUGUUGAA